UACUAAAUCUUAUCGUGAAUAGUAUAAUUUGAAAUAUAUUAAUAAAGUGCAUUAUUUUCUUCGAAAAAAUUAAAAAUUACAAUUUAGUUCUCAAUAACUUAAUAUGUACACAUUAUAUAUUAUAAAAUUUGGUUAUGUAAAUCAGUUAAAAAGAAAUUUGUAUAAAAUAAGAUCGAAGAAUAAGCAAAAGAAAUGUGUAAAAUAAAGAGGUUGGAAAGAUAGCAAGACUAUGGGCAGGUCUGGGUUAGGAGGUGCGGUGAAAAGCGGCUCGAAGGUAAUAGAGCGGUGCAACGAGCAGACACCUCGCAAUUUGGCUAAUGGCUUCCCACUGGUAUCGUGGUGGCUCCAGAUACACGAAUACGCAACAUACGCUAGCUACUUUUCUCGUUCUAAUACAAUCUAUAUUCUUUGUUCUCCUAGUUUGAUAUAUUUCUACUUUGGAAUUUGCCUUAUUCGUACUUUCAAAUAUCGAUAAAAAUCUUCAAUUUCUCUAUUCACAUCAAUGGAAAUAAUAAUAAUCAUUUUUCGAAUACUUUAUAAUAUAAGUAAUUAAAUCCGGAAUUUUUCAAAGUGUACAACAGUGAUUUUUUAUAUUCUAUAGAAUAUUAAUGUUUUGUAAAAUUAUGAAAUUCGUGUAUUAAUUAAAAUAUAUGAUGGUGAUUUAGUGUUCCGUAAAUUUUUCUUGCAAUCAAGUGUUUCGUGAUUUUGAAAAAUUACGAGAGAGAUUGUAAAUCAAGCAACGAAGAAUAUCGUCCAUGUUUGAUUCUCCAGAGAAUUCUUUCGCCAGUAGUUCCUACAAGGGACGAAGUUAAAAUCCGAAGGAUCUUUAGAACCAAGGGUCGAUGUGGCUUGAGAAGAGAGCCAGAGUGAAGUAAGGAUUUGGAUGACGAGAUCGUGGACGCCGGAUUGUGGAUUCCCGAGGGGACUCGACGGAAGAGAAGAACGGUUACUCGUUCGUUCAUCUGUGUCCCUUUUCUUUCUUGCUUUGUGUAUGCAUACAACCUCACUGUUACGAAGAAGGUAAAAUGCGAGUGAUAAAAAAAUUGUAACGAAAGGAUGAAGAAAAGUGAGAGAUAUGUUUCAAAUGUGUGUAUGUAUAUAUGUAAAAGUGUGUUUGGGAUAAAGAAAAAGAGACGAUGAAAA